AUGGGGAAAGACGCAGGAAUCCACCAGCCCACGGGACACACACGUAGCUGGGCAGAAGACCACGGAUUCGGCCACCUGAAGGAGCCCGGUGGGGAACCCGCACGUGGAGGCACGGGGAAAUCCCAGGUGCACACAGCACGGGGGCCGAGAUCGAGGGUCGCUUACGAAACCAGAGGACGAGCAAAUCCUCCUCAGACGUCCCAGUGCUGCCUGCCUUCCCCUAGCUCAUUUCACAGACCCAGGCAGCACAACCAGCCAGCUGCAUCCCUCCAAACACAAGCCAAGCUGCAGCAACAUACACACAAGGUUCAAGAUCAUUUCCCAGCGCCGGGGGAUUUUUAGGCUGGCAGCAAACUAUGCAGGGCCUGAGGCAUGCGUGUCCAUGGCUUCAAAUCCACAGAGCUGCAUUUUUUCCCCUCCAAAACAGGGUGCCUGCAUCCAGCUUCCUUCUGGGCAGGCACACCGGGUAUUGCUGAAAUUCGCCCCCCUCCUGGGACAGGGUUUUUUUUAGACCGAAAUAGGAAGCGCAAACCUCACCCUGAGCUUCCUCUAGGGUUUGGUUCUUCCUAGAAGUUUCUCCUUGCCGGAAAUUUCUUUUCUGCACCGUUGGCCCCGACCCAACCCAGUGCUCAAGCACUCGCUUAGCUUCAAACCCCUGCACCCACAUCGGGGCUUGCACGGGGACCUCAUCCCUUUGGUCACACCUGCCUGGUAGCUCGGCCCCAGGUCUGGCUGUACCAGAGCUCAGGAAACUCAAAUGCCUAUUGAUCAAGG
rnacentral:lncRNA from 1 species